GCUGCCCAAGCUGUCACCUCCAGCCUCUCCCCUCUUGGCCGCCGCCGCCAGCAGCCAGAGCCGGACUCACUGACAAGCCGCAGAGAGAGACACACUGAGAGGGAGAUGAUUAUUAGUUGCGUUGAGUCAUCAGGCAAAGCUCCCCUAAACGAGCGGGUUAGAGAAAAUGCUCAAUUCGAAGUCUGUGAGAACAAAGUGGCUCAAGUGAAUCAACUCGUGGUGGUAGCUAAAAGGUUUUUGGCUGCAAACAAACAAACUAAUCCUCCUCCGGAUCAAUGUCCAGGAACUUAGAAGAAUUGGUGAUAUUAGGACCUCAGUACUUCUGGAAAAAAAUGCAAAUGGUUUAGCCAGGAUCUUUCCUGUCUGAUUCGUCACUAUUAUUAUAUCUGAUGAUGCGAA